GGCGUGAUAGCCAAGUGGUAAGGCACCGGUCUGCAACACCGUUAUCGCCGGUUCAAAUCCGGCUCGCGCCUCUA
rnacentral:tRNA from 1 species